UUAAGUUAUUAAGGGCGCACGGUGGAUGCCUUGGCACUAGAAGCCGAUGAAGGACGUUACUAACGACGAUAUGCUUUGGGGAGCUGUAAGUAAGCUUUGAUCCAGAGAUUUCCGAAUGGGGAAACCCAGCAUGAGUUAUGUCAUGUUAUCGAUAUGUGAAUACAUAGCAUAUCAGAAGGCACACCCGGAGAACUGAAACAUCUUAGUACCCGGAGGAAGAGAAAGAAAAUUCGAUUCCCUUAGUAGCGGCGAGCGAAACGGGAAGAGCCCAAACCAACAAGCUUGCUUGUUGGGGUUGUAGGACACUCUAUACGGAGUUACAAAGGACGACAUUAGACGAAUCAUCUGGAAAGAUGAAUCAAAGAAGGUAAUAAUCCUGUAGUCGAAAAUGUUGUCUCUCUUGAGUGGAUCCUGAGUACGACGGAGCACGUGAAAUUCCGUCGGAAUCUGGGAGGACCAUCUCCUAAGGCUAAAUACUCUCUAGUGACCGAUAGUGAACCAGUACCGUGAGGGAAAGGUGAAAAGCACCCCGGAAGGGGAGUGAAAUAGAACCUGAAACCGUGUGCUUACAAGUAGUCAGAGCCCGUUAAUGGGUGAUGGCGUGCCUUUUGUAGAAUGAACCGGCGAGUUACGAUUUGAUGCAAGGUUAAGCAGUAAAUGUGGAGCCGUAGCGAAAGCGAGUCUGAAUAGGGCGUUUAGUAUUUGGUCGUAGACCCGAAACCAGGUGAUCUACCCUUGGUCAGGUUGAAGUUCAGGUAACACUGAAUGGAGGACCGAACCGACUUACGUUGAAAAGUGAGCGGAUGAACUGAGGGUAGCGGAGAAAUUCCAAUCGAACCUGGAGAUAGCUGGUUCUCUCCGAAAUAGCUUUAGGGCUAGCCUCAAGUGAUGAUUAUUGGAGGUAGAGCACUGUUUGGACGAGGGGCCCCUCUCGGGUUACCGAAUUCAGACAAACUCCGAAUGCCAAUUAAUUUAACUUGGGAGUCAGAACAUGGGUGAUAAGGUCCGUGUUCGAAAGGGAAACAGCCCAGACCACCAGCUAAGGUCCCAAAAUAUAUGUUAAGUGGAAAAGGAUGUGGCGUUGCCCAGACAACUAGGAUGUUGGCUUAGAAGCAGCCAUCAUUUAAAGAGUGCGUAAUAGCUCACUAGUCGAGUGACACUGCGCCGAAAAUGUACCGGGGCUAAACAUAUUACCGAAGCUGUGGAUUGUCCUUUGGACAAUGGUAGGAGAGCGUUCUAAGGGCGUUGAAGCAUGAUCGUAAGGACAUGUGGAGCGCUUAGAAGUGAGAAUGCCGGUGUGAGUAGCGAAAGACGGGUGAGAAUCCCGUCCACCGAUUGACUAAGGUUUCCAGAGGAAGGCUCGUCCGCUCUGGGUUAGUCGGGUCCUAAGCUGAGGCCGACAGGCGUAGGCGAUGGAUAACAGGUUGAUAUUCCUGUACCACCUAUAAUCGUUUUAAUCGAUGGGGGGACGCAGUAGGAUAGGCGAAGCGUGCGAUUGGAUUGCACGUCUAAGCAGUAAGGCUGAGUAUUAGGUAAAUCCGGUACUCGUUAAGGCUGAGCUGUGAUGGGGAGAAGACAUUGUGUCUUCGAGUCGUUGAUUUCACACUGCCGAGAAAAGCCUCUAGAUAGAAAAUAGGUGCCCGUACCGCAAACCGACACAGGUAGUCAAGAUGAGAAUUCUAAGGUGAGCGAGCGAACUCUCGUUAAGGAACUCGGCAAAAUGACCCCGUAACUUCGGGAGAAGGGGUGCUCUUUAGGGUUAACGCCCAGAAGAGCCGCAGUGAAUAGGCCCAAGCGACUGUUUAUCAAAAACACAGGUCUCUGCUAAACCGUAAGGUGAUGUAUAGGGGCUGACGCCUGCCCGGUGCUGGAAGGUUAAGAGGAGUGGUUAGCUUCUGCGAAGCUACGAAUCGAAGCCCCAGUAAACGGCGGCCGUAACUAUAACGGUCCUAAGGUAGCGAAAUUCCUUGUCGGGUAAGUUCCGACCCGCACGAAAGGCGUAACGAUUUGGGCACUGUCUCAACGAGAGACUCGGUGAAAUCAUAGUACCUGUGAAGAUGCAGGUUACCCGCGACAGGACGGAAAGACCCCGUGGAGCUUUACUGUAGCCUGAUAUUGAAAUUCGGCACAGCUUGUACAGGAUAGGUAGGAGCCUUUGAAACGUGAGCGCUAGCUUACGUGGAGGCGCUGGUGGGAUACUACCCUAGCUGUGUUGGCUUUCUAACCCGCACCACUUAUCGUGGUGGGAGACAGUGUCAGGCGGGCAGUUUGACUGGGGCGGUCGCCUCCUAAAAGGUAACGGAGGCGCUCAAAGGUUCCCUCAGAAUGGUUGGAAAUCAUUCAUAGAGUGUAAAGGCAUAAGGGAGCUUGACUGCGAGACCUACAAGUCGAGCAGGGUCGAAAGACGGACUUAGUGAUCCGGUGGUUCCGCAUGGAAGGGCCAUCGCUCAACGGAUAAAAGCUACCCCGGGGAUAACAGGCUUAUCUCCCCCAAGAGUUCACAUCGACGGGGAGGUUUGGCACCUCGAUGUCGGCUCAUCGCAUCCUGGGGCUGUAGUCGGUCCCAAGGGUUGGGCUGUUCGCCCAUUAAAGCGGUACGCGAGCUGGGUUCAGAACGUCGUGAGACAGUUCGGUCCCUAUCCGUCGUGGGCGUAGGAAAUUUGAGAGGAGCUGUCCUUAGUACGAGAGGACCGGGAUGGACAUACCUCUGGUGUACCAGUUGUCGUGCCAACGGCAUAGCUGGGUAGCUAUGUGUGGACGGGAUAAGUGCUGAAAGCAUCUAAGCAUGAAGCCCCCCUCAAGAUGAGAUUUCCCAACUUCGGUUAUAAGAUCCCUCAAAGAUGAUGAGGUUAAUAGGUUCGAGGUGGAAGCAUGGUGACAUGUGCAGCUGACGAAUACUAAUCGAUCGAAGACUUAAUCAA
rnacentral:rRNA from 1 species